AAAGUGCUUAUAAUAGGGGAUGAUGGCCUUCAUAAUCCCAAAUGAGCUAAAAAUAAAAAGGUGCUUAUUUGAUUCAUGGGAGGCCAGAAAUCAAAUCCCAAAAUCUGGGGGUUUCGCUGAUGGUGCCUUUCCUUUAUUUUUUAAUCGAAGAUUCAGAAAAAAUGGAAAAUCAAAUUUUGUAAGGGGAAAGAAAAUACCUCCCACUCUGAAGUUGUAAGCUGUAGUCAGGACAUCUACAAAAGGCACUCCAGCGACAGCAGCCUUGCCACGCCUCCCCCGCCUUGCUUGAGAGGAAAGAUGAGCUCCUUUUACCAUGGAAGUUGAUGGAUGGCAGACUUCAUCACAUCUACUUUUCGAGAUACUCUUGCAUCUUAGGUCCCAAAUGGCAAAGGACCCAUCUCUCGACCCAGAGAGAACAAAAUCAGAAUUGGUUGGAUGCGAACCCAAACAUUUAACAUUUCCAAUCAUCGAUUCUUGCUUUUUCUGCAUUUUCACGGUAAGAUGAGCAGAAGAAAGCUACCGACGAGGAUCAAGUUUAAUCCAGCCUCAUCAGAUACAGCAAAAAUAUUGGAAAUUUUACUUGCCUUACAAAAGCAAACGGCCGAAGGAGGCGUUUCUAAAAUAUUGUUUUCAAUCGCUCCGAUUUCAGUGAAAUCCGAAGCUAAUUAGUCAAUCCAUGCUCGUUUUCUAGCUCGAAAGCUACUGAGUUCCCUGGAUAUGAAGGUGGCGUGUUAGAUCCUCGUUCACCGCACAUACAAAGAAUCAAGUAGAAAUGGAAGGGCCCAUACGAGAGAAAAUGAUAAUGGAGGUAGGAGGGGCCCCUUAAUUUGGGGAUGUAGGGUUUCCUUUUAGGUAAUUUUUAUUUUAUUAUAGUUAUAUAAUAAAUUUCAAGGGAGAUUUUGUCAUGAAA